rnacentral:rRNA from 1 species
AGUCUGGAUCAUGGCUCAGAUUGAACGCUGGCGGGAUGCUUUACACAUGCAAGUCGAACGGCAGCACGGACUUCGGUCUGGUGGCGAGGGCGAACGGGUGAGUAAUGUAUCGGAACGUGCCUAGUAGCGGGGAUAACUACGCCAAAGCGUAGCCAAUACCGCAUACGCCCUUCGGGGAAAGCGGGGACCUUCGGGCCUCGCACUAUUAGAGUGUGCCGAUAUCGAUUAGCUGCUGGUGGGGUAACGGCUCACCAAGGCGACGAUCCGUAGCUGUUUGAGAGGACGACCAGCCACAUCGACUGAGACACGGCCCAGGAUCUACGGGAGGCAGCAGUGGGGUAAUUGACACAAUGGGGGAAACUCGAUCCAGCCAUCCCGCGUGCGAUGAAGGCCUCGGUUGUAAAGCACUUUUGGCAGGAAGAAACGGCACGGAUAAUACCUCGUGCAACCGAUUUGCAUCUGCAGAAUUAGCACUGGCUAAUCAGCGCCGCAGCGGUACGUAGGGUGCAAGCGUUAAUCGGAAUUACUGGGCGCAGCGUGCGCAGGCGGUUCGGAAAGAAAGAUGUGAAAUCCCAGAGCUUUUAACUUCUUGAACCGCAUUUUUAACUACCGAGCCAGAGUGUGUCAGAGGGAGGUGGAAUUCCGCGUAGCAGUGAAAUGUUGCAGAUAUGAGGAACACCGGAUGGCGAAGUACGCCUCCUGGGAUAACACUGACGCUCAUGCACGAAAGCGUAGGGGAGCAAACAGGAUUAGAUACCCUGGUAGUCCACGCCCUAAACGAUGUCAACUAGCUGUUGGGGCCUUCGGGUCUGGUAGCGCAGCUAACGCGUGAAGUUGACCGUUCGGGGAGUACGGUCGCAAGAUUAAAACUCAAAGGAAUUGACGGGGACCCGCACAAGCGGUGGAUGAUGUGGAUUAAUUGAUAAAUGCGGAAAACCUUACCUACCCUUGACAUGUCUGGAAUCCCGAAGAGAUUUGGGAGGUCUGCAAGAGAACCGGAACACAGGUGCUGCAUGGCUGUCGUCAGCUCGUGUCGAGAUGUUGCUGCGGCGUCCCGCAACGAGCGCAACCUUGUCAUUAUUACAUGAAGGGUAGUACCCCCCACGAGACUGCCGGUGACAAACCGGAGGAAGGUGGAUGACGUCAAGUCCUCAUGGCCCUUAUGGGUAGGGCUUCACACGUCAUACAACGGUCGGGACAGAGGGUCGCCAACCCGCGAGGGGGAGCCAAUCCCAGAAACCCGAUCGUAGUCCGGAUCGCAGUCUGCAACUCGACUGCGUGAAGUCGGAAUCGCUAGUAAUCGCGGAUCAGCAUGUCGCGGUGAAUACGUUCCCGGGUCUUGUACACACCGCCCGUCACACCAUGGGAGUGGGUUUUACCAGAAGUAGUUAGCCUAACCGUAAGGAGGGCGAUUACCACGGUAGAUUCGCGAUCAGUGAAGUCGUAACAAGGUAG